CUUAGAAUACAUUUAUAUCGAAGGAACUAGACUCAGUUCCGAAAUAUCACCAACUCGAGGUUGGGAUACUUGUAGAAAUUUAGAAAUUCCUAAAAGUUGACAAAAGUGGAAGCCACUGAAAUGUAAUCAAUGAAGCAAUGUAAUCCAUUGAAAAUAAGUAGUUUUCAUUGCCAGCAAGCAAAUUUGGGAAGUGUCUAUUGGCUGAUUGAAAUCGUAGUAUGAAAUUUUUAGUGAAACAGUUACAGUAACUCACAUACAACUAUACCAUAAAUAUACAUGCAACUAUACCAUAAAUAUGGGCUUACACACGGGAGGGCUUAAUUACAGGGGGUGGCUUAUGUACCAACAACAUUUGAUGUUAGUAUUAAUAUUUAUUGUAUGUGUAAACUAUACUGUGAACAAAAAGAAAUACAAACACACAACCUCGUACCCAGGACACACAUACAGUGUAUAAUCUAUAUAUUACAGUACUGUAAUCUAAUUAUUGUCACUCAUCUGAGCUAUUGGAAUCGCUGUGCUAAUUAACUAACAGGCUUAGACAUGGAGGGGCUUAUAUUCAGGGGGGGACUUAUAUUCUGAAUGGCCUGAGUGUUAGUGAAUACGGUGGGCUUAUAUACAGGGGGCUUAUACUGGGGGAGGGGCCAGGAGGUUAUAUUCAGAGGUUUACGGUAUAUUACUAUCCAACGUUUCAUAUAUUCUAGCUGAAUCAUACUGACAUCACCCUGGCCAUCCUUUUUGUUAGGCUUUAUCAGGCCAAAGUGAGUUAAGCCCCGUUUACACUACGCUCAAUUUUUGGUACGGCACGGAUAAAAUUGGUACCCGUACUACUUUUUUGGUUCUUGGCAAGAACCAAAAAAGUGGUACGGGUACCAAAGUUGGACUACCUAUUUAGGUAGUCCAAGAACCAAAAAGUGGUACGGUACCCAAAAUUGAGCGUAGUGUAAACGGGGCUUAACUAAAUAGGUAGUCCAAGAACCAAAAAAGUGGUACGGGUACCAAUUUUAUCCGUGCCGUACCAAAAAUUGAGCGUAGUGUAAACGGGGCUUUAAUUAGUGAGAUACUUUCCAGAAGGGUAUAUUCUGUAUGCAUUGCAAGAAUAUACACCAUGUGCAAGAUUUUAGAAACUUUAUAUCCAGGCCUAAGGAAGUUAAUAAUUAUUAAUAGGAUGUUUGUGAUGUUACUCUGAAUGUAUAUCCACACUGGGCAAGCUUGACUAAUAUGCCUGGCCAUGGUGGGAAUCGAACCUACGACCUUUGGAAUACUAGCCCAAUGCUCUGCCAACUGAGCUACGUGGUCGAGUAUGUGAUAUUUCGGAACUGAGUCCAGUUCCUUCGAUAUCAAUGUAAUCAGUAAUACCGAAGGAACUAGACU